rnacentral:lncRNA from 1 species
AUGGGCAGACCCAGCCAGCUGCAAGCUGCAGACCCAGCAGACGACAGCAGCCAGAAGGUACAGUGUAAAUGCAUCGCAUUGGCCUUUUUCAGCACUAAGCUGAAUGAAACACAAUAUUCAGAACAAAUAAAUCAUGCAAUGCAUGAUAUGUGGGGAGCACAAACAAAGGGAGAAGAAGCCCUGUCUUUAUUUGCCUGGCAAACUUCACAGCACGCUGGCCUGGCACCUUUCAUCACGGCAGAGUCAUACAGCAUCUUCUCAGCUCUUCAUGCACACUUACAGCCUUGUAUUUGUAGCUGCAUGGAGAAUCCUCCAAGUGCAAGCAACGUGUAAAAUCCAUGCUAAGAAUGUCUCUCAGAGCUGCAAGCAGUCUCUAAACUUACUGCCAGGACAUUAGCUCUGAAUCUGAGCACGGACACAGCGCCAGGACUAUGGGCAUCUCUCGUGAGCAGCGGCUGCCUGUCUUCUCCCAAAAAACUCUUUCAGACAAACACAAACCAAAUGGCACGUCUGUCAGACCUGAUGCAUUCAUAGGUCCUAUGUGUAAAUGACAAGGCAGCUGCUGAAGCUGGAUGUAAAAGAGAUGUUACCUUUUACUGGAUCCUAUUGGACUUUAAGGGAAACAAUGAAGCACUGUGCAAAAUAUGUAAAUAGUUAUGUCCCUCUGAUGUACGUUGAAAACACAUGUUCUAGUUGUAGCUUCAGGAACUAUAAAAGACACUGUGAAAUACUCUCGAGGCUUCCUUUCUUCUGUGAGAAGAACCAUUUCAGAACAAAAAUAAAGUAUAUGCAUCCACUUGUAUUUUGGUGUAU